GACCUUAUAGUCAAUAAUGAUAUUAGACUGCAAUUCUGAAGGGGUAGGGUAACUACUAAGGUUU
rnacentral:tRNA from 1 species